CUCGUAGGCGGUUCAGUAAGUCGGGUGUGAAAACUUUGGGCUUAACCCAAAGCGUGCAUCCGAUACUGCUGUGACUUGAGUUCGGUAGGGGAGCGGGGAAUUCCUAGUGUAGCGGUGAAAUGCGCAGAUAUUAGGAGGAACACCGGUGGCGAAGGCGCCGCUCUGGGCCGAAACUGACGCUGAGGAGCGAAAGCAUGGGUAGCAAACA
rnacentral:rRNA from 1 species